rnacentral:rRNA from 1 species
GACGAACGCUGGCGGCGUGGAUUAGGCAUGCAAGUCGAACGGUAGGAUACCUUCGGGUAUCUGAGAGUGGCGAACGGGUGAGUAACACGUAGGUGAUCUACCCUCAAGAUUGGGACAACCCAGGGAAACUUGGGCUAAUACCGGAUGAAAGCAGCAGUGAUGUUGUUUGAAAGGUGGCGUAAGCUGCCGUUUGGGGAUGAGCCUGCGCUCUAUUAGUUAGUUGGCGGGGUAAAGGCCCACCAAGGCGAUGAUAGAUAGGCGGCCUUAACGGGUGGUCGCCCACACUGGGAUUGAGAUACGGCCCAGACUCCUACGGGAGGCAGCAGUCGAGAAUAGUCUACAAUGGCCGAAAGGCUGAUAGUGCGACGCCGCGUGAACGAAGAAGCCCUUCGGGGUGUAAAGUUCUUUUAUAUGUGAGCAGUGCUUUCUAUGUGAACAGCAUGGGGAGAGAGAUAUUAGCAUAUGAAUAAGCAACGGGCUAACUCCGUGCCAGCAGCCG